rnacentral:rRNA from 1 species
GGGCCCGCACAAGCGGUGGAGCAUGUGGUUUAAUUCGAUGAUACGCGAGGAACCUUACCAGGGCUUAAAUGUAACGGGACAGAUCUAGAGAUAGAUCCUUCUUCGGACUCAUUACAAGGUGCUGCAUGGUUGUCGUCAGCUCGUGCCGUGAGGUGUCAGGUUAAGUCCUAUAACGAGCGCAACCCCCCAUCGUUAGUUGCCAACGAGUAAUGUCGGGAACUCUAACGAAACUGCCGGUGCAAACCGUGAGGAAGGUGGGGAUGACGUCAAAUCAUCACGGCCCUUACGUCCUGGGCUACACACGUGCUACAAUGGUCGGUACAGAGAGCAGCCACUACGCGAGUAGGAGCAAAUCUCUUAAAGCUUGUCUC